rnacentral:rRNA from 1 species
AGCUCCAAUAGCGUAUAUUAAAGUUGUUGCGGUUAAAAAGCUCGUAGUUGGAUCUCGGCGGGCAGGGGGCGGUUCGCUCUUUAGCGCUACUGCCCCCCUUUGCCCGUGUGCUUGGCGGAGGUUUUGGGGGGCUUUUCGUUUGGGGACUCGGAGCGCCGUCAGGUUUACUUUGAAAAAAUUAGAGUGCUCAAAGCAGGCUUUUCACGCUUGAAUAUUCGUGCAUGGAAUAAUGGAAUAGGAACUCGGUUCUAAUUUGUUGGUUUUCGGAAAUCGAGUUAAUGAUUAACAGGGACAAUUGGGGGCAUUAGUAUUCAGACGACAGAGGUGAAAUUCUUGGACCGUCUGAAGACUGACUACUGCGAAAGCAUUUGCCAAGAGUGUUUUCA